rnacentral:lncRNA from 1 species
CAAGUUUUAAACUCUGGUCAUCUUAUUUUGGCUGGAAAAAUAGAGGAAAGUUCUGAGCAUACCAUCAAAAUAUAUGGUUUAUUCCUUCAUUAAGGUCCAAUCCCUACGAAAUUAAAGGAAACCUAUCUUUCACAAAUGGCAUAAGCAUUAGCCAAAUGUUAUGUUCUUGUAAAGCAGAAAAUAAUGGAAAAUGUAAACAUGUCUCUACUCUUGUUAAAUGGAAGAUGUGAAAUUAAUGGAACAUUCAGUACAUGAGUUGAAAAAAAUGUUAACAGAUUGGCAAAUGAAGACCAUUUUUAAUUGAUCUAAACAUUUAUAGAAACAAAGUAUAUGGUUAAUAUAAAAUAUUACCUGCCUGAAGUAACUUGGUGUACAAAUCAAUAGUAACCAUAAUUUUUAUUCCCAGGGCCAGUGAGAAACAAUGUGCAUUUCAUUUCUAAGUGUUCCAAGGAAAGAUCUCCUAAGAAUAAAUAGAUCUGUACAAUGAAGAUUAACCUAAUCUGUUUAACCAUCGAAAUUAUUGUAUUGUUAUAAAAAUAAUAAAUCUCCAUUUCAUAUUAU